UAGUACGGCGAGUGAAGCGGCAACAGCUCAAAUUUGAAAGCUGGCUCCGGCCCGCAUUGUAAUUUGCAGAGGAUGCUUUUGGCGAGGUGCCUUCCGAGUUCCCUGGAACGGGACGCCAUAGAGGGUGAGAGCCCCGUAUGGAUGGACACCAAACCUGUGUAAAGCUCCUUCAACGAGUCGAGUAGUUUGGGAAUGCUGCUCUAAAUGGGAGGUAAAUCUCUUCUAAAGCUAAAUACCGGCCAGAGACCGAUAGCGCACAAGUAGAGUGAUCGAAAGAUGAAAAGCACCUUGAAAAGGGGGUUAAACAGUACGUGAAAUUGUUGAAAGGGAAGCAUUUAUGACCAGACUUGCGCCGGGCAGCUCAUCAGGGGUUCUCCCCUGUGCACUCUGCCCGGCUCAGGCCAGCAUCGGUUCUCGUGGGAGGAUAAGAACAGUGGGAACGUGGCCCCCCUCCGGGGGGGUGUUAUAGCCCAUUGUACGAUACUCUCGUGGGGACCGAGGUUCGCGCUCCGCAAGGAUGCUGGCGUAAUGGUCAUCAAUGACCCGUCUUG
rnacentral:rRNA from 1 species